UCAGCUUCUAUUUUUUGAAAAGUAGCGCGCUCAGACCAGCUCGCUCACUUGUUUCCUCUUCCAUUUUUUAGGGCAAUUGUUUGGUUUGAUAAACGAAGCUUAGAGUCUCCUUGGGUUUGCAACCCUUACCCUCCUGGAAAAAGAUCAUGGUUGCAGUUGCUAGACAGACCAGGUACUAUUAGAGCCGCUAAUGGACGACGAGCUAUUUUCCGCUAUCCGGAGCUCGUGCUCAAGCAUUUGAGCCUGAUGGACGAGACUCCUGGGGUAAAGGAUGCAGAGAAUGAGGAGAAAACACUCGUAUGGGCGCACUGAGAAGCGGUGCGUGUGGACACAGGUGUCAAAGAUGGCGCCACCAUCAGCACGUUCUACAACCCGAUAUUCUGAAAGAUCUCACUCAGCUCUGCUCUCCGAGCAUUCUGCUUCCAACACGCCGUGACUUCCCGAAAGAAAAUGUGCUCACGCAUUAGAAGGAGGUGAAAGAUGCACCUGCAGGAGAAUACAUGCUGAAGAGAAGGCAGAAACAUGCCCGGAUCCACCAGAACUAGUGCUGGCAAGUCAACAGAGGCGAGUACUGAUAAUGUUCCAGAUUGUGGUAGGAUCACAUAAGCAAAAUUGACACUGGGAGGCACGACGGUGGGUCAGCUCAUGGCCAGCGCCAAUUCCAGUGGAUAUCACGUGCAUCCAGUUCUAGUACUAUAGUAUGACUGCUACAAAGUAGUGCGGCCCAAAUAGAACUCGGGUCAGGUGCCGAAGAACUGGAGGGGGGGGGGGGGGGGACAUGUGUCGAUGAACGGUAAUCCCGGAAAUCAUGCUGGUGUAUCGAGGGCAUUGGCCAAUGAAGUGCUGGAUUGAUGGUGGACGACUGUACUGCAAUCUUAGCUGGUCCCCCUAUCGCAGAGACAGCACUUCCUGGUGCAACCACCCUAUCCUGCAAUCUAUAUAAUAAUUAUUAUAAGAGAUUUGUGUGAACGAUUUUAGCAUGAUGCAAGUCAUCUUAUUGUGCUGGGGGGCUGGCUACAUGUCACUAUAGCUGUUUAUAGACUCAAUCACCGCAUUACGCUGCCUUGUGUUGACUUGAUUGAGCACUCUUUUUGGUUAGUGUCAAAGGUAUAUGUAAUAUGUAUCUGCCUUCGUGCAAAGCUCUCUUUGUACGUGUCUUGCAGAUAGCUCGCUGACUUUGAUGCUUUGAGCCAUUUUCAAAUUGCUUUUUUUGUUCAUUUCAUAUAGACCGUAUUGCCAUAUGUUUAACUCCCGCUCUGAGCUCCA